rnacentral:rRNA from 1 species
AAAUUUGAGAGUUUGAUCCUGGCUCAGAAUGAACGCUGGCGGCAGGCUUAACACAUGCAAGUCGAACGGGAUUAUGUUGUAGCUUGCUAUAAUAUAACCUAGUGGCAGACGGGUGAGUAAUGUAUAGGAAUCUACCUAGUAGUACGGAAUAAUUAUUGGAAACGAUAACUAAUACCGUAUACGCCCUACGGGGGAAAGAUUUAUUGCUAUUAGAUGAGCCUAUAUUAGAUUAGCUAGUUGGUGGGGUAAUGGCCUACCAAGGCAGUGAUCUAUAGCUGAUCUGAGAGGAUGAUCAGCCACACUGGAACUGAGAUACGGUCCAGACUCCUACGGGAGGCAGCAGUGGGGAAUAUUGGACAAUGGGCGAAAGCCUGAUCCAGCCAUGCCGCAUGAGUGAAGAAGGCCUUCGGGUUGUAAAGCUCUUUUAGUGAGAAAGAUAAUGACGGUACUCACAGAAGAAGUCCUGGCUAACUCCGUGCCAGCAGCCGCGGUAAUACGGAGAGGGCUAGCGUUAUUCGGAAUUAUUGGGCGUAAAGAGCGCGUAGGCUGAUUAGUAAGUUAAAAGUGAAAUCCCAGAGCUUAACUUUGGAAUUGCUUUUAAAACUGCUAAUCUAGAGAUUGAAAGAGGAUAGAGGAAUUCCUAGUGUAGAGGUGAAAUUCGUAAAUAUUAGGAGGAACACCAGUGGCGAAGGCGUCUAUCUGGUUCAAAUCUGACGCUGAGGCGCGAAGGCGUGGGGAGCAAACAGGAUUAGAUACCCUGGUAGUCCACGCUGUAAACGAUGAAUGUUAAAUAUGGGAAGUUUACUUUCUGUAUUACAGCUAACGCGUUAAACAUUCCGCCUGGGGACUAC